CAACAAUGAAUAAACAAGUAUCACCACAGCCCUUGUUCUUGUCCCUUACAGCUGGGAACAGGGGCUGGGAGAUUGCUACUGCUUGUCAGCUGUUGUAUAGAAUAGCAUCAAUAUGCAAUAAUGGUGGCCAAAGGAGCUGCAGGAGCUUUUUCAGACCAGGUUUGAUAUUGAUAAAAUGA
rnacentral:lncRNA from 1 species